UCCCAGAGAAAUGUCCCACAGCUGCUGUGACUAAAAGGAGGUGACAGACAGAAAAGGAGCAGAUAUGAACCAUCUGGAUUGAAAUAAUCUUUGGGCUUUUCUUGGCUAGGGUCAGCCUUGGAGCUCCCAUGUCAUCUAACUCCUCUGCAUUGUUCAAAAUGGCCUGAAGAACUUCUCAACACGGACAGUUGCCCAGGCCAGUCAGGUCCAAGGCCACCGCUGCUCGGGCUGUCAUCAGCUUGAUCUCCGCACCGGCCACCUCCAGGCGUGCUUUCCUGUUUUCUUGGGCUGCUAUAACCAAGUACCAUAGACCGGGCGCUUACAGUAGAUGUAUCCCAUGUGGUAGAUUCAUAGCAGAAAUCGAUCCUGUCACCAUCUGGAGGCUGAGUCCGAGAUCAGGGUGACCACAGACUUGGUCUCCGAGGCCUCUCUCCUGAGCCUACCCAUCUGGAAGAAAUGAAACACUUUCUCUCAUCCUCUGGAAGCCUGAGCUCUCCUUUCCCUCGCAGGGAGAGCCACUGUUUGUUUUUACUGUUGGAAAGAAUAGAAGAGGAUGUUCCAGAACUGAGUUGGACACCCUGGAAAUGAUUCAUCCAAGGUCAGAACAUGGACGUGAAUGGAGGCGAGUCAGCUUCAACCAUACCAUGAGGACAGUGCUCUAGGAGGUGGCAGAGACACCAGAGAAAUGGAACCCAAGUCAUGGAAUAACCUCAUACUGCAGAGCCACCCUGCGAAUCCUGGACUGCUCACCUUUGGACUAUCA